rnacentral:tRNA from 1 species
GUGGGUAUAGCGUAGUUGGUUAACGCGUCAGAUUGUGGUUCUGAAGACCGUCGGUUCGAAUCCGACUACCCACCCCA